UAUUCUCCCAAUGAUACCGGGAGCAGGGAAGGGAUUUCAAGAAAAAGGAAGGGUCCGUGCAAAGGCCUGAAGUUACAGGAGGCCAAGGCCAGGACCUCAGUCCAUCCACGUGGAGAGCACCUAGCCCUUACCAACAGCCAGGCUCCUGAUUUUCCUCUAGUUGGAAAACAGGCCCUGGGGACACAGCCAGAUGGUCUACCCCGCAAGAUCCCGUCUCUCGGAACCCCCGGACCUCUCAGGAGAACUUCGGCUCUCCCACGUGCAAACUCUUGGCGCCCUCGUUUCUCUACCCCGCGCUCGGCAUUCGCCAAGUACCAUCUUGUGUUGACAUUCGUGUUCUCUCAAACGACGGUCUCACCUCCCCCGACGAACUACAAACAUCACGUCUCAUUCAUCGCUGCAUCCUGCCUUGGGCCUUGCACAGAGUUAGCACUUAAUAAAUGUUUGUUGCUGCUGCUAAUGAUGAAAAACAAAUGCUUCGGUAAUUCUGAGGCAUCCGACGUGCCCAACCCACCCACACUCCAUGUCAUCAUCUCUUCCACUGGAGGUAAACAAUGUCUCUUCCACCAGCACUUUCCACCCGGUCCCUCCCUGUGCCCUGACUAACCGGGGACAAAAGCAAAUACUUGUCUCAGCCUGGAUGGGAAUCGCAGACUGUCAGAGGCUCGCAGGCUCUCGCAUCCCUAGCGGCCACCUCGCUGGGCCUGCUUUUGGUUCUCAACCAGCUACGGGAUCCUCUAAAAGGCAAUUUAACAGCCAUGAGCCUCUGGCCCUAAAUUUCUCUGCCCUUUCAACAUGAGGUUGUCAUUAAGAUAAACGAGAUCAUAGAUCUGAAAAUGCUCUGAGAAGUCAAGAGUUCUACACAAAGGAGAAGGCUUCUAGGGAACCAGCUUGGCCCUCUUGGCCUGCAGGAGACGACUUGGUUUGGAACCCUGGCCACUCAACCACCUGAAACACCUGUUCCCCUUUUCUUAGAACCUAGUUUUGUUUUUAAUUGGUGGGGAUGGGGGGUGUUUUAUUCUUUUAAUCAGAGAAAUUAAAGAGAGAAACAGACUCAGAGGAAUCCUUGGGCGGGAGGGUAUUUUAAGAGCUCAUUGUGUCGUGUUCAUUUUCUUCUGUAGCCUAAUUUUGGGUGAAGACAUGCUGAAAGGUGUAUCUUCCUUCUUCCAGCUUCCGAGACUAGACCAGAGGGGGAAAGGGCUGCUUAAACACGCAAGACAGCAGGGAACAGGGGGUCAGGCUGUCCUGAGAAGCCUCAGUUCCUCCAGAAUUCUCCAGUGCCGCGGGCCAUGGUUAAAUGUAUGAAUUUGACAGUAGCCCUCGACUGGCUGGGCGGACUCCGACAAAGCCACCCCCCAGAAUCUCUGGUAGUUGUUUCUUCUUCUACGAGGUUGCUCAGAGAAGAGAAUACCCCCCAAAGAAGCGCUCCUUCUCCUCCACCGGAUAUCCAUCCGAGGCAGGCUGCAGACGGACAUGGACACGGUCAGCGAAGCCACCUUCAAGCACCUCCUGAGCGCUCGCUCUAUGCUCAGCGGGGCCAGAAGCCUGGCCGGGUUUGGGGUUCCCUCUAGAUGACUGGAAGGCCCCGAUGCUGGGCAUAGCACAG
rnacentral:lncRNA from 12 species